AUCCUUUUUGUCGAAUGCCUCAUUUCCCAAUGCCACAUUUACGCGAUAAAACGAUUGCCAACAGUUUACUUCAACGCCUUCCCAUAUUAAGUGUAACUGGGUGCCUUGAAAGGACGGCGUGUCAAAUAAAAUGCGUCAUCAUUCUGAUGGUGACAAGUUGGCUGAAA